rnacentral:sRNA from 1 species
UAAAAAGUAACAAGAUGAAAUCAGACCAGUAGAACCAUGAGUGAGCAUUAGACAUUAGAACAAUGAAAGCAAUAAAAUCUUCUUCUACUUGCCUUGUC